rnacentral:rRNA from 1 species
AGCGAACGCUGGCGGCAGGCCUAACACAUGCAAGUCGAACGAACCUUUCGGGGUUAGUGGCGGACGGGUGAGUAACACGUGGGAACGUGCCUUUAGGUUCGGAAUAACUCAGGGAAACUUGUGCUAAUACCGAAUGUGCCCUUCGGGGGAAAGAUUAAUCGCCUUUAGAGCGGCCCGCGUCUGAUUAGCUAGUUGGUUGAGGUAAUGGCUCACCAAGGCGACGAUCAGUAGCUGGUCUGAGAGGAUGAUCAGCCACAUUGGGACUGAGACACGGCCCAAACUCCUACGGGAGGCAGCAGUGGGGAAUCUUGCGCAAUGGGCGAAAGCCUGACGCAGCCAUGCCGCGUGAAUGAUGAAGGUCUUAGGAUUGUAAAAUUCUUUCACCGGGGACGAUAAUGACGGUACCCGGAGAAGAAGCCCCGGCUAACUCCGUG